AUCCUCCAAGGCUAAAUACUCCUGAUUGACCGAUAGUGAACCAGUACCGUGAGGGAAAGGCGAAAAGAACCCCGGCGAGGGGAGUGAAAAAGAACCUGAAACCGUGUACGUACAAGCAGUAGGAGCCCCAUCACUCAAGUGCCUCGCACUGAGUGAUGCAAGAACAUCACCGAAAAUAGCGCCGAAUUUGCUAACAAGGUUGGUCGAUUUUUUCAAGCCGUCGCGCAGUGUACCUAGAAGUACACGAGCAACGGAAGUUAAAAAAUCGGGCAAGAUUGAACGCAAAGGCAAGCGGGACAUUUGAGGAUGGGGUGACUGCGUACCUUUUGUAUAAUGGGUCAGCGACUUAUAUUCUGUAGCGAGGUUAACCGUAUAGGGGAGCCGUAGGGAAACCGAGUCUUAACUGGGCGAAUGAGUUGCAGGGUAUAGACCCGAAACCCGGUGAUCUAUCCAUGGGCAGGUUGAAGGUUGGGUAACACUAACUGGAGGACCGAACCGACUAAUGUUGAAAAAUUAGCGGAUGACUUGUGGAUGGGGGUGAAAGGCCAAUCAAACCGGGAGAUAGCUGGUUCUCCCCGAAAGCUAUUUAGGUAGCGCCUCGUGAACUCAUCUUCGGGGGUAGAGCACUGUUUCGACUAGGGGGUCAUCCCGACUUACCAACUCGAUGCAAACUGCGAAUACCGAAGAAUGUUAUCACGGGAGACACACGGCGGGUGCUAACGUCCGUCGUGAA
rnacentral:rRNA from 1 species